ACCCUUUGUGUCCUUCCUUGUGGCAAGUGAUACAUUCGCUCCAGGGCCUGUUUUUAUCACGGGAAGGCAAUGUGAAGCAUCCCUCACGUAUCUUCCCAAUCUUGCUCUGGCCUGAUGAGGUUCUUCUGCCAGAAACUGGAAAUGACCCCAAAGCAUCAUCAAGUGGGAAAUCACAGCAUACCUACUGCUGUGAUAACUGAGCACCUGUCAAGAUACUAUAUUGCUAGUCAUGGAAAUGGAAGUCAUCUCAGAUUUAUCAACAGAGAAGCUGACAUUGCUGCCUCGCAAGUUUCUCAGCUUUUGUGCCUCAACCUUGACCCUCAAGGAUCUACUUCUCAAGGCAAGAAAGCAGCAAAUUCUCCUCACGGACUUAAUCACUGUCUCCUCUGCUAUGGGUUCUGAUUCAUGAGGUGGUAGAGAUCUCUUUAACCAAACCAGAUCACCUGGAAGUACUCACUGCUAUAGGACGCAGAGUGCACACUUGCCACAAGCUGACUUCAGCAUUCCAGGUCUCAGUAAUACCCACAGUGAAGUGGAAAACUGCUCCUUGCUUGUGACCACAAGUGGAUCACUGAUGCUAAUGGGCACCUUUCAGACAUUAAGGCUCUGGCCGUAUUUGAACUCCAAGACAUUCUUCAUACCCUCAUUGUCCUUUGAGCUCACAAAGGAUGCUCACAAUCUUGCAAAAAAGCCGUGCUCCAAAGUCAUCAAGUGAUAUUAGAUUGUGUCUCAAAACCACUAGAGGUUCCCUCCAUUUCCCAGAAGGUGUCCCGGAGCUGGAGCCAAUUCAGCUGCCAAGAUGCUGCCUUUCUCACCUGCUGAUUGCAAUUAGCCACUGCCAGCUGGGACCUGGUGUGCCACUGAAGAACUAACAAGAAGCAGAGACCAGCAUGAUGCCUCGACAGCAUAUACACAGUGAAUAAAUAAGAAAUGCUGCACU
rnacentral:lncRNA from 7 species